UGGGCUUUCACACUGGGCCAGGAAUGUUUGACGUAUAUCUGUGUUGAAAGCACUGGAUGCUUGUUUGGUGGAAGACGUGUGCACUGAGUUGAAUUUCCUGCCAUCCGCAGCAAAACCUGUGAAUGCUUCUUCAAAGCAUUGAGGAGGCAGAGACAAGCCUUAAACCAGCUUCCUUCUGCUCUUACCAGGUAGCCUGGUUCAGUCCCAGCUGGGUCCUGAAGGAGCACAGUACUAGAGUCUGAGUCAUGUUGAUGAAUAAAGUGCAUUAAGUUUGGGUCAGGCAAAAUGGUGGCAAAAGUUCAUGAUGCAGGACAGAGGAAACAAGUGGACAAGACAAGUGGAGCCCAACUCUGUUCCAAAGGGAGGCCAGGCGAUGCUGUCAUGGGCAUGGUCGGCCGAGUUCUCAUAGCUAGAGAAAGGCCGUGUAGGUAUUAGAGCUUAACGUGUCAUCUGUUCGAAAGACCAGCUAUUUUAUAAUCUUUCCGAUUAAAUUUCUGAAAUUGCUA